rnacentral:rRNA from 1 species
UACGAACCGAGCGAACGUUGUUCGGAAUCACUGGGCUUAAAGGGCGCGUAGGCGGGUGCUCAAGUCCGGGGUGAAAUCCUCCAGCUCAACUGGAGAACUGCCUCGGAUACUGGGUGUCUCGAGGGUGGUAGGGGUAUGCGGAACUAUCGGUGGAGCGGUGAAAUGCGUUGAUAUCGAUAGGAACUCCGGUGGCGAAGGCGGCAUACUGGACCACAUCUGACGCUGAGGCGCGAAAGCCAGGGGAGCAAACGGG